rnacentral:rRNA from 1 species
AGAAUCAACGCUGGCGGCGUGCCUAACACAUGCAAGUCGAACGAGAAAGUGGAGCAAUCCAUGAGCAAAGUGGCGCACGGGUGAGUAACACGUGACUAACCCUACCCUUGAGUGGGGGAUAACCUAGAGAAAUCUGGGCUAAUACCGCAUAAUACCUUCGGGUCAAAGCAGCAAUGCGCUUGGAGAGGAGUUCGCGGCCGAUUAGUUAGUUGGCGGGGUAAUGGCCCACCAAGACGAUGAUCGGUA